CACUUUGAUAGGAGAAGCAUUUCAGUUGUUCUCACCUCCUGCUUAUCCUGAGCAGCAGAGUAAGAAACAUCCAGAAUGUUCCACUCACUAUGCCUUCACGCACUGCUUGCUCGAGGAUGGCUGUCUGAUGUUUCUUUCUAUAAUGGAGCAGUGGGUAGAACUUUCCACUCCUGAUGACAUUGUAUAAACUCCUCUUGAUAUAUUUGACAGUCACUUUUUGUCACUUAGGUACUUUUUCCUUUCUGCCUCUCUUUCCUCUCAUUACUUGAUAAGAGCCUUGGGUCAUAAAUGCAUCCUACCAGAUCCCGUAAAACCCUUCCCACUGUGCUUAGAAUAAAAUCAAACCUCUGAUGUACAAAUACUCCUCUCUCACCCUGCCUCAUCUCCCCCGGGCUCCAGCCACUCCGGUCUUUCUGUGCGGCUACUGUGUGACUUCCUUUCAGUUCUGAAUGCAGUUCAUCCACAGCUGUCCAGAGCUGUGUGGUUCCCCAUACUCAUGUGUCCGCUCCUGUAGUAACUCCCCAAAGAUCCCACCUAACAUCAUGUUUCCUGGGAUCCCCACUCACGUUUGCUCUCCUGCUUCCUUUUGCUUUCUUCUUUUCACUUACUUUUAACUUUCUUUUCACUCUUACAGAGACGCACCAAAGCUGUGAAGUUUUCUGUUUUGCUUAUGGUACGAUUAUCCCGCACCAAGCGAGCCCAGAGCACUGCAGCUGGGAGCUUCCUGUCUCAUUCACAGACCUGUGCCCAAUGCCAGGAAGUGCCCCUGGUACACAGUUGGGACUCGAUACGUACAUGAUUUGGUGGCAGCGUUGGGACCCGAAGCAAACCUCUGUCAGCACUUGGGGACAAAGAGAAACACAGACAUGGUGCCCUGCAAACAGGUACUGCACCCUUGCUGUGACCAUCUAGGGCAGACAGUGGGAAACACACGUGAACCCACAUGGGCAACAGAAGAGACUGUGAGCUCACCCAGGGGAACUUCACAUUGACUUAAUGACAUAUCAGCCCGGAGCAAUCCUGGGAACUUCCAAAGCAAUAUCUCAAUAGAGAUUGUGGAUGGAUAUGUAAAAACAGAAUAGACCGGAAAAUCCUGCUCAUCUCCUUUUUUUCGAAGAUAAUCUUCCUCCCGAGUUACUCCGCCCAAGAGUCAAGAGAGACAGCAACAACACCCUUCCAAAAUGAAGCCCCACCUGUGGGAGUGUCUUCCUUCCUGUCUGCAGCUUCAUGGACCAAGGGGACACACUGAUGCAGAGAGAAAAAAGACAGGCCCUGGCUAUGAGGCCCAGGAACUGGGUCAGAGCUCACGGGACGUGAGGGGGUCCACAGAGCAGGUGUGAUGCCGCAUACCCACGUGAACACAUCCUGGCCCCUGGCGUCUCAGGGAACUCCCUGUCAAACACGGUGCUCCAUCAGGAGAGGACUCCUCUUCCUUGUACUGCAGUGCAGACAGAGCUGGGCAGCUGUGCUGAUGCACACGCGUGCAGUCCUUCCCUUGGUCUCCCUUGGUCUUUAAAUCCAAUGGCAAAUAUCCUUCUAAGAGAAGAGGAGAAGAUACAGAAUAGAGGAGGAGAAGGUCAUGAGAAGCUGGAAGCAGAGACUGGAAAUUUUCAGUCACAAGCUAAGGGACACUGGGAGCCCCCAGAAACUGGAGGAGGCAAGAAAGGAGUCUACCCUAGAGCCUUCAGAGGGAGCAUGACUCCACCAACACCUGGAUUUUCUACUUCUGAUUUUCAG